GUGGGGAAUAUUGGACAAUGGGCGAAAGCCUGAUCCAGCCAUGCCGCGUGUGUGAAGAAGGUCUUCGGGUUGUAAAGCACUUUAAGUUGGGAGGAAGGGCAGUAAGUUAAUACCUUGCUGUUUUGACGUUACCGACAGAAUAAGCACCGGCUAACUUCGUGCCAGCAGCCGCGGUAAUACGAAGGGUGCAAGCGUUAAUCGGAAUUACUGGGCGUAAAGCGCGCGUAGGUGGUUUUGUAAGUUGGAGGUGAAAUCCCCGGGCUCAACCUGGGAACUGCCUCCAAAACUGCAUGACUAGAGUACGGUAGAGGGUAGUGGAAUUUCCUGUGUAGCGGUGAAAUGCGUAGAUAUAGGAAGGAACACCAGUGGCGAAGGCGACUACCUGGACUGAUACUGACACUGAGGUGCGAAAGCGUGGGGAGCAAACAGGAUUAGAAACCCGGGUAGUCC
rnacentral:rRNA from 1 species